CCACGUUGCGUUAACCACAAGCUCAUGGACAACAGUGGCGUUAGCAGCGGAAAUCAACUGCUAGGGACAGGGCCACCUGCCCUGACUUCCGCCCAGGUCCAGCCCUGCUUCAUGGUGUCCCUGUCGACCAAGACAGCAGUCACGCUGCCCUCAGCUCGAUAAAUUCUGGGCAGGACUCUUCCUGACCACUGGCCUGACCUCCCUUUUCUUAGAGCAUUUAUUUUAGGAAGUUACGAUUGCAAAUCCUUUUUCUGCCCCUCUGAGAUGUAAAUGUUCCACAGGCCAGGAACAACUUUAUCAAGGUUCUGGGAGGUAUGUCUUUGAAAUGAAUCCCAAAGGAGAUGGGGUCCCUGCCUCCCAGUCUCUGUGGGUAGGGAGGAGCCAAACUUCCAUGAGUGACAAUCAGCAAACACAGGUGGCCUACCCACAUCACCUUCUCCCCUUCCUCCAGCUCUGUCCUCCUGUGCACCCCGUGCUAGAACCCCUCACCCCCUUCCUCCAACUCUGUCCUCGUGCGCACCCCAUGCUAGAACCCCUCACCCCCUUCCUCCAGCUCUGUCCUCCUGCACACCCCAUGCUAGAACCCCUCACCCCCUUCCUCCAGCUCUGUCCUCGUGUGCACCCCAUGCUAGAACCCCUCACCCCCUUCCUCCAACUCUGUCCUCGUGCGCACCCCAUGCUAGAACCCCUCACCCCCUUCCUCCAGCUCUGUCNACUCUGUCUUCGUGCGCACCCCAUGCUAGAACCCCUCACCCCCUUCCUCCAGUUCUGUCCUCCUGCACACCCCAUGCCAGAACCCCAACUUUCGGUUUCAGUAGAGUUAGGUUCACGCUCUCAUCCCCGUUACAGCCAUGCACGAGGUCUUCCUUGCCAGAUGUUUCUUUUACGGUUCUGGUGCCGUGACUCAGACAGGACUCCUCGCUGGGCCCUCAGACUUGUCACCCUGGAGCCCAGGUGUGCACCUAGGAAGCCUCUGUCUUUGCUCCUGCCUGACAGGUUGGAUCCACUGGGGAUCACUGGUGAGCCCAACCCCAGUCCGGGGCUCCAGAGGACCACUGCUCCAAG
rnacentral:lncRNA from 1 species